GGAUGGUCCAAGUUCAGUGGUGUUUACAAGUAACUGAUUGGAACCAGUUACAGAUUUCUUUGUUCCUUUUCCACUCCCUUGCCUUCACUUGACUAGUGUUAA
ensembl:misc_RNA Y_RNA Y RNA